rnacentral:rRNA from 1 species
AUUGAACGCUGGCGGCAGGCCUAACACAUGCAAGUCGAGCGGAGCGGCGGACGGGUGAGUAAUGUAUGGGGAUCUGCCCGAUCGAGGGGGAUAACGUCCGGAAACGGGCGCUAAUACCGCAUACUAUCAGAUGAGCCUAGGUCGGAUUAGCUAGUUGGUGGGGUAAAGGCCGACCAAGGCGACGAUCCCUAGCUGGUCUGAGAGGAUGAUCAGCCACACUGGGACUGAGACACGGCCCAGACUCCUACGGGAGGCAGCAGUGGGGAAUAUUGCACAAUGGGCGCAAGCCUGAUGCAGCCAUGCCGCGUGUAUGAAGAAGGCCUUCGGGUUGUAAAGUACUUUCAGUCGGGAGGCGUUACCGACAGAAGAAGCACCGGCUAACUCCGUGCCAGCAGCCGCGGUAAUAC